UGGCCAACGCCUGGCGGCGUGCUUACACAUGCAAGUCGAACGGAAAGGCCCUGCUUGCAGGGUACUCGAGUGGCGAACGGGUGAGUAACACGUGGGUGAUCUGCCCUGCACUUCGGGAUAAGCCUGGGAAACUGGGUCUAAUACCGGAUAGGAGCCAUUUUUAGUGUGAUGGUUGGAAAGUUUUUUCGGUGUAGGAUGAGCUCGCGGCCUAUCAGCUUGUUGGUGGGGUAAUGGCCUACCAAGGCGGCGACGGGUAGCCGGCCUGAGAGGGUGGACGGCCACAUUGGGACUGAGAUACGGCCCAGACUCCUACGGGAGGCAGCAGUGGGGAAUAUUGCACAAUGGGCGCAAGCCUGAUGCAGCGACGCCGCGUGGGGGAUGACGGCCUUCGGGUUGUAAACUCCUUUCGCUAGGGACGAAGCUUUUGUGACGGUACCUAGAUAAGAAGCACCGGCUAACUACGUGCCAGCAGCCGCGGUAAUACGUAGGGUGCGAGCGUUGUCCGGAAUUACUGGGCGUAAAGGGCUCGUAGGUGGUUUGUCGCGUCGUCUGUGAAAUUCCGGGGCUUAACUCCGGGCGUGCAGGCGAUACGGGCAUAACUUGAGUACUGUAGGGGUAACUGGAAUUCCUGGUGUAGCGGUGAAAUGCGCAGAUAUCAGGAGGAACACCGAUGGCGAAGGCAGGUUACUGGGCAGUUACUGACGCUGAGGAGCGAAAGCAUGGGUAGCGAACAGGAUUAGAUACCCUGGUAGUCCAUGCCGUAAACGGUGGGCGCUAGGUGUGAGGGUCUUUUCACGACUUUCGUGCCGUAGCUAACGCAUUAAGCGCCCCGCCUGGGGAGUACGGCCGCAAGGCUAAAACUCAAAUGAAUUGACGGAAGGC
rnacentral:rRNA from 1 species